UACGUAGGGGGCGAGCGUUGUCCGGAUUUAUUGGGCGUAAAGGGCGUGUAGGCGGCCAGGUAGGUCUGCUGUGAAAACUCGAGGCUCAACCCUGGAACGCCGGUGGAUACUGUCGGGCUAGAGUCCGGAAGAGGCGAGUGGAAUUCCUGGUGUAGCGGUGGAAUGCGCAGAUAUCAGGAGGAACACCGAUGGCGAAGGCAGCUCGCUGGGACGGUACUGACGCUGAGGCGCGAAAGCGUGGGGAGCGAACAGG
rnacentral:rRNA from 1 species